rnacentral:rRNA from 1 species
GACGAACGCUGGCGGCGUGCUUAACACAUGCAAGUCGAACGGAAAGGCCCUGCUUUUGUGGGGUGCUCGAGUGGCGAACGGGUGAGUAACACGUGAGUAACCUGCCCUUGACUUUGGGAUAACUUCAGGAAACUGGGGCUAAUACCGGAUAGGAGCUCCUGCUGCAUGGUGGGGGUUGGAAAGUUUCGGCGGUUGGGGAUGGACUCGCGGCUUAUCAGCUUGUUGGUGGGGUAGUGGCUUACCAAGGCUUUGACGGGUAGGCGGCCUGAGAGGGUGACCGGCCACAUUGGGACUGAGAUACGGCCCAGACUCCUACGGGACGCAACAGUGGGGAAUAUUGCACAAUGGGCGGAAGCCUGAUGCAGCAACGCCGCGUGCGGGAUGACGGCCUUCGGGUUGUAAACCGCUUUCGCCUGUGACGAAGCGUGAGUGACGGUAAUGGGUAAAGAAGCACCGGCUAACUACGUG